GAGUUUAGCUCAGUUGGUUUAGAGCACCUGCUUGACAUGCAGGAGGUCGCAGGUUCAAAUCCUGUAGCUCC
rnacentral:tRNA from 1 species